rnacentral:lncRNA from 1 species
AAAAACUGUGCGUGAGAGGGCCAUGGAGCAGAUCUGGAAGCUUUAUGGUUUCUGUCAGGAGCCAUUUGGAAAACACCUCCAACCUUCUCAGAGAACAGACAUCGUCCUCAUGGCCCUUGAAAAGACCACUGAAGACUGCGCUGUUGAGGACGAUGAGUGGUCCGAAAUUAUACUGGAUAUGGUUCUGAGUCAGCCUAGCAGCUGGCUGAUGGAUGUGCCGGUGAUUAUGAGCUUCAUCCACAGACACAUGAAAAGCAGCAGCACAUCAGUUCAACAGACACUCUUCUCAGUGCUGGAAAUACUGGCCUACCAGUUUCCCAGGGAUGUGCUGAUGAGUGUGUUGAUCUACCUUCCACCGAAUGACAGCACUCUGCGUAUCUGGAAGAACAUGAUUUACUGCCCAAAGUCAUCAGAGAACGUUUUAGAUGUGCUGUGCACUGUGCUCAUGGAGGAAGAAAUCUGCGGGAUUCCCACAGGAGACUUGGGCCUCCUUCGCCUGACUGUGCCCGAGAUUCUUCAGUCCAUCCAUAGAAACCUGAAAAGAAGGCUUGCGUCACUUCAGCAGACUCUCUUCUCAUUGCUGAAUAUGCUGACCAACCUUUUUCCCAGAGAUCUGCUGACGGCUGUGUUGCUCCAUCUUCCACAGAAUGACAGCACUACUCUGGACAUCUGGAAGAGAGUGCUAGCUCCAACAGUGACUUCAGGAAUGCACUUGCAAGAACUGUGCCGUGUUUUUCAGGACCAACAGCUGUGCAUGAUCUUUAGCAUCACCGCAGUGGAUUUUGGCCUACUUUGCAUGGCUGUGAUGUGCCCCACUGAAGAGAUCCUGCAAGAGUUAUGUAACCCAGACCUCUUCCAGAUGUUUCUGAAGAUUGAAAGCUUGCCACUACUCUGGCUGGUGCUCAGAGGCCUUGUGCUUCUGUCAGAGAGACCUGAGACGGCAAGAGAAAUACAGGCCCUGCUGCCAGACAUCAUGGAGACCCUGCAGUUUGGCAAUGCGCACGUCACUCUUAAUGCGCUGACUAUCUUCAAAAACAUCAUGAAUCAUCUGGGGAAGAUGGAGGCGCGUCCCAUUGCUCUGGAGCUGGCUGGCAAGCUCCUGUAUCUAUUUAAUCAUGUGUCAGGUGAAGUACGAGAGUCUUCCAUCCUCCUCUUCGAAGAUGUGAUAGAGGCUGUGGUGUGGUGGCAAAAGGGAGAAAUGAAGAGGAAAGUACGCAGGGGCCUGCUUCCUUUGUUCUUUCGGAGCAGUGAUGAGAUCUCGAGUGUUGCACAGGCUGCCAGGGAAGCCCUUACCGCUUGUGCAAGGUUCCUGAAGUGGCAGGAGCUCGAGCAUCAGGCCGAGAAGAGGGAUGUGCUGGGGAGUGCUUGGUAA